GACGAACGCUGGCGGCGUGCUUAACACAUGCAAGUCGAACGGAAAGGCCCUGCUUUUGUGGGGUGCUCGAGUGGCGGACGGGUGAGUAACACGUGAGUAACCUGCCCUUGACUUUGGGAUAACUUCAGGAAACUGGGGCUAAUACCGGAUAGGAGCUCCUGCUGCAUGGUGGGGGUUGGAAAGUUUCGGCGGUUGGGGAUGGACUCGCGGCUUAUCAGCUUGUUGGUGGGGUAGUGGCUUACCAAGGCUUUGACGGGUAGCCGGCCUGAGAGGGUGACCGGGCACAUUGGGACUGAGAUACGGCCCAGACUCCUACGGGAGGCAGCAGUGGGGAAUAUUGCACAAUGGGCGGAAGCCUGAUGCAGCAACGCCGCGUGCGGGAUGACGGCCUUCGGGUUGUAAACCGAUUUCGCCGGUGACGAAGCGUGAGUGACGGUAAUGGGUAAAGAAGCACCGGCUAACUACGUG
rnacentral:rRNA from 1 species